rnacentral:lncRNA from 1 species
CUUUCUAUGAAAGAUCGAUCCCUCACCAAAAGCGGGCAAAAAUUUUUGAGAUCAAACAAACAGACUCUAGUUUUAAGGCUAACUUGAACCUAAUAGCUCAAAAAUUAGAUAAAAUUGAUCUUCUUGCUCAUAAGUUAGAUCAGUUUCUAACCCUAGGUCAACAAUCUCUUACGCAAUACACACCACCUCCCAAUUAUCAAAAGAUUUAUUCUAUCUAUGCUACCCC